GAUGAACGCUGGCGGCGUGCCUAAUACAUGCAAGUCGAGCGAACAGACGAGGAGCUUGCUCCUCUGACGUUAGCGGCGGACGGGUGAGUAACACGUGGAUAACCUACCUAUAAGACUGGGAUAACUUCGGGAAACCGGAGCUAAUACCGGAUAAUAUAUUGAACCGCAUGGUUCAAUAGUGAAAGACGGUUUUGCUGUCACUUAUAGAUGGAUCCGCGCCGCAUUAGCUAGUUGGUAAGGUAACGGCUUACCAAGGCAACGAUGCGUAGCCGACCUGAGAGAGUGAUCGGCCACACUGGAACUGAGACACGGUCCAGACUCCUACGGGAGGCAGCAGUAGGGAAUCUUCCGCAAUGGGCGAAAGCCUGACAGAGCAACGCCGCGUGAGUGAUGAAGGUCUUCGGAUCGUAAAACUCUGUUAUUAGGGAAGAACAAAUGUGUAAGUAACUAUGCACGUCUUGACGGUACCUAAUCAGAAAGCCACGGCUAACUACGUG
rnacentral:rRNA from 1 species